rfam:Stachybotrys chlorohalonata IBT 40285 unplaced genomic scaffold C141198, whole genome shotgun sequence.
CUUGCAUGAUGAAAAAACUUUACAACCAGUUCUGCUACUGAACCUAUGUGACGACCUCUAAAUUACCAUACCAAGAUCUCUGAUGU